UACGUAGGGUGCGAGCGUUGUCCGGAAUUACUGGGCGUAAAGAGCUCGUAGGUGGUUUGUCGCGUUGUCCGUGAAAACUCACAACUCAAUUGUGGGCGUGCGGGCGAUACGGGCAGACUGGAGUACUGCAGGGGGAGACUGGAAUUCCUGGUGUAGCGGUGAAAUGCGUAGAUAUCUGGAGGAACACCGGUGGCGAAGGCGGCAUCCUGGACCGGUAUUGACGCUGAGGCGCGAAAGCUGAGGGCAAACG
rnacentral:rRNA from 1 species